ACACAGGGGGAUAACAGUUAGAAAUGACUGCUAAUACCGCAUAAGCGCACAGUCUCGCAUGGGACAGUGUGAAAAACUGAGGUGGUGUGAGAUGGAUCCGCGUCUGAUUAGGCAGUUGGCGGGGUAACGGCCCACCAAACCAACGAUCAGUAGCCGGCCUGAGAGGGUGAACGGCCACAUUGGGACUGAGACACGGCCCAAACUCCUACGGGAGGCAGCAGUGGGGGAUAUUGGACAAUGGGGGGAACCCUGAUCCAGCGACGCCGCGUGAGUGAAGAAGUAUUUCGGUAUGUAAAGCUCUGUCAGCAGGGAAGAAAGAAAUGACGGUACCUGACUAAGAAGCCCCGGCUAACUACGUGCCAGCAGCCGCGGUAAUACGUAGGGGGCAAGCGUUAUCCGGAUUUACUGGGUGUAAAGGGAGCGUAGACGGUUAAGUAAGUCUGGAGUGAAAGGCCGGGGCCCAACCCCGGGACUGCUCUGGAAACUAUUCAACUUGAGUGCAGGAGAGGUAAGCGGAAUUCCUAGUGUAGCGGUGAAAUGCGUAGAUAUUAGGAGGAACACCAGUGGCGAAGGCGGCCUGCUGGACUGCAACUGACGUUGAGGCCCGAAAGCGUGGGGAGCAAACAGGAUUAGAUACCCUGGUAGUCCACGCCGUAAACGAUGAUUACUAGGUGU
rnacentral:rRNA from 1 species